rnacentral:lncRNA from 1 species
CUUUGUUCUUAUAUUAUUUUUUCUUCUUUAACUUCUCUUUUUUGUUUGAUCUUUCUUUUUCUUUUUUUUUUCAUUCAUAUUUUUAAGACCUUUUUUGCCAUCAUCCUUUUUUUUUCCUCGCACACAUGCUUGUUCCUUUGACAUAUUGCUUACAUUCUGUUGAAUUAUGCACAAUGUAGAACUACACGCUACACAUAGUACAUCUAUCAUGCCA